UUAAGUUAUUAAGGGCGCACGGUGGAUGCCUUGGCACUAGAAGCCGAUGAAGGACGUUACUAACGACGAUAUGCUUUGGGGAGCUGUAAGUAAGCUUUGAUCCAGAGAUUUCCGAAUGGGGAAACCCAGCAUGAGUUAUGUCAUGUUAUCGAUAUGUGAAUACAUAGCAUAUCAGAAGGCACACCCGGAGAACUGAAACAUCUUAGUACCCGGAGGAAGAGAAAGAAAAUUCGAUUCCCUUAGUAGCGGCGAGCGAAACGGGAAGAGCCCAAACCAACAAGCUUGCUUGUUGGGGUUGUAGGACACUCUGUACGGAGUUACAAAGGACGACAUUAGACGAAUCAUCUGGAAAGAUGAAUCAAAGAAGGUAAUAAUCCUGUAGUCGAAAAUGUUGUCUCUCUUGAGUGGAUCCUGAGUACGACGGAGCACGUGAAAUUCCGUCGGAAUCUGGGAGGACCAUCUCCUAAGGCUAAAUACUCUCUAGUGACCGAUAGUGAACCAGUACCGUGAGGGAAAGGUGAAAAGCACCCCGGAAGGGGAGUGAAAUAGAACCUGAAACCGUGUGCUUACAAGUAGUCAGAGCCCGUUAAUGGGUGAUGGCGUGCCUUUUGUAGAAUGAACCGGCGAGUUACGAUUUGAUGCAAGGUUAAGCAGUAAAUGUGGAGCCGUAGCGAAAGCGAGUCUGAAUAGGGCGUUUAGUAUUUGGUCGUAGACCCGAAACCAGGUGAUCUACCCUUGGUCAGGUUGAAGUUCAGGUAACACUGAAUGGAGGACCGAACCGACUUACGUUGAAAAGUGAGCGGAUGAACUGAGGGUAGCGGAGAAAUUCCAAUCGAACCUGGAGAUAGCUGGUUCUCUCCGAAAUAGCUUUAGGGCUAGCCUCAAGUGAUGAUUAUUGGAGGUAGAGCACUGUUUGGACGAGGGGCCCCUCUCGGGUUACCGAAUUCAGACAAACUCCGAAUGCCAAUUAAUUUAACUUGGGAGUCAGAACAUGGGUGAUAAGGUCCGUGUUCGAAAGGGAAACAGCCCAGACCACCAGCUAAGGUCCCAAAAUAUAUGUUAAGUGGAAAAGGAUGUGGCGUUGCCCAGACAACUAGGAUGUUGGCUUAGAAGCAGCCAUCAUUUAAAGAGUGCGUAAUAGCUCACUAGUCGAGUGACACUGCGCCGAAAAUGUACCGGGGCUAAACAUAUUACCGAAGCUGUGGAUUGUCCUUUGGACAAUGGUAGGAGAGCGUUCUAAGGGCGUUGAAGCAUGAUCGUAAGGACAUGUGGAGCGCUUAGAAGUGAGAAUGCCGGUGUGAGUAGCGAAAGACGGGUGAGAAUCCCGUCCACCGAUUGACUAAGGUUUCCAGAGGAAGGCUCGUCCGCUCUGGGUUAGUCGGGUCCUAAGCUGAGGCCGACAGGCGUAGGCGAUGGAUAACAGGUUGAUAUUCCUGUACCACCUAUAAUCGUUUUAAUCGAUGGGGGGACGCAGUAGGAUAGGCGAAGCGUGCGAUUGGAUUGCACGUCUAAGCAGUAAGGCUGAGUAUUAGGCAAAUCCGGUACUCGUUAAGGCUGAGCUGUGAUGGGGAGAAGACAUUGNGUCUUCGAGUCGUUGAUUUCACACUGCCGAGAAAAGCCUCUAGAUAGAAAAUAGGUGCCCGUACCGCAAACCGACACAGGUAGUCAAGAUGAGAAUUCUAAGGUGAGCGAGCGAACUCUCGUUAAGGAACUCGGCAAAAUGACCCCGUAACUUCGGGAGAAGGGGUGCUCUUUAGGGUUAACGCCCAGAAGAGCCGCAGUGAAUAGGCCCAAGCGACUGUUUAUCAAAAACACAGGUCUCUGCUAAACCGUAAGGUGAUGUAUAGGGGCUGACGCCUGCCCGGUGCUGGAAGGUUAAGAGGAGUGGUUAGCUUCUGCGAAGCUACGAAUCGAAGCCCCAGUAAACGGCGGCCGUAACUAUAACGGUCCUAAGGUAGCGAAAUUCCUUGUCGGGUAAGUUCCGACCCGCACGAAAGGCGUAACGAUUUGGGCACUGUCUCAACGAGAGACUCGGUGAAAUCAUAGUACCUGUGAAGAUGCAGGUUACCCGCGACAGGACGGAAAGACCCCGUGGAGCUUUACUGUAGCCUGAUAUUGAAAUUCGGCACAGCUUGUACAGGAUAGGUAGGAGCCUUUGAAACGUGAGCGCUAGCUUACGUGGAGGCGCUGGUGGGAUACUACCCUAGCUGUGUUGGCUUUCUAACCCGCACCACUUAUCGUGGUGGGAGACAGUGUCANGCGGGCAGUUUGACUGGGGCGGUCGCCUCCUAAAAGGUAACGGAGGCGCUCAAAGGUUCCCUCAGAAUGGUUGGAAAUCAUUCAUAGAGUGUAAAGGCAUAAGGGAGCUUGACUGCGAGACCUACAAGUCGAGCAGGGUCGAAAGACGGACUUAGUGAUCCGGUGGUUCCGCAUGGAAGGGCCAUCGCUCAACGGAUAAAAGCUACCCCGGGGAUAACAGGCUUAUCUCCCCCAAGAGUUCACAUCGACGGGGAGGUUUGGCACCUCGAUGUCGGCUCAUCGCAUCCUGGGGCUGUAGUCGGUCCCAAGGGUUGGGCUGUUCGCCCAUUAAAGCGGUACGCGAGCUGGGUUCAGAACGUCGUGAGACAGUUCGGUCCCUAUCCGUCGUGGGCGUAGGAAAUUUGAGAGGAGCUGUCCUUAGUACGAGAGGACCGGGAUGGACAUACCUCUGGUGUACCAGUUGUCGUGCCAACGGCAUAGCUGGGUAGCUAUGUGUGGACGGGAUAAGUGCUGAAAGCAUCUAAGCAUGAAGCCCCCCUCAAGAUGAGAUUUCCCAACUUCGGUUAUAAGAUCCCUCAAAGAUGAUGAGGUUAAUAGGUUCGAGGUGGAAGCAUGGUGACAUGUGGAGCUGACGAAUACUAAUCGAUCGAAGACUUAAUCAA
rnacentral:rRNA from 1 species